AACUCUAAAGUUGCAAUAUGCAAAGUAGUCCUUUGACCUGAGGCAUCAUAGAUGUCUAAUGGUUAGGUCAUUGAUCUUUGAUCAUGUCAAACGGCAUUCCAUCGGAGUGUCCACGGCAUUGUUAGGGUCAAGCUAUCUAGUCUUGUAGGCAUAUGAAUGCACAACAAGGGAUCUUUAACCUUCCAUGGUGGAAGGAGAAUACUCUAAGAUAUGAUUCUAAAGUCUUUGGCCAAAGCAUAUGAAUAUGACUUAGGAAGUUUGUUCCAAAUCAUAUUCAAGGGAAUCAUAUAAAGAUGUAUCACAUUGGAUAAUAGACAUGAAAAAAACUAUCACUCAAACAAUGUGAUU
rnacentral:lncRNA from 1 species